GUCAGCAUGGUACAGUGGUUUGAACACUACACUAAGUCUCUGGAGACCAGGGUUCAAAUCCCUAUUUAGCCA